GGAGGAGGCAGAUGGAUAUGAACAUUUGUGAAGGUCAUGGCCCUGAGACACAGGCCCAUGAAAAGACGGAGAUUUAAUCAAAGGCUAGCCCACACCCUUUCUCCACACUAACAUGACUCCAGCUUAAUAAAAUAUAUUUCAUUGAAAGAACUGCAAAACAUACGCUCUCCCUGAGAAGGAGCACUUAGGGAAGUCUGAAAUAAAAAGGGAAGACAAAAAAAAAAAAAAANAAGAAACUAUGAAAGAGAAGAUAGGAAAUGUAGAGAGAUGAAUAAUAGAGAUAGGUAAUAAAGAGAGAUGAAAGUUCUAAGAAAGACUAAAAGGCAAUGCUAGGAAAAAAAACUGUUUGAAAUGAAGAGUUCAUUUGAUGGGCUCAUCAGUUGACUAGACAUGGCUAAAGAAAAAAUCACUGUACUUGAUGACAGGUCAAUAGAAACUCCCUUAUCAAAAUGUAAAGGAAAAAUAAUUUAAACAAACACACACACACACCAGAUUGCCCAAGAACUUCAGGGCAAUUUCAAAAGGUAUAACAUUGACAUAAUUGCAAUAACAGAAGGAGAAGAAAUGGCAGAGCAGAAGAAAUAUUUGACAUUUGGAAUGACAAUGAGAAAGAUCUUCCAAAAUUAUUGACUGUCAUCAAAUCACAGAUCCAGGAAGCUUAGAAAACAACAAGGAGGAUAAAUACCAAACAGCAGUAAUAAAAAAUACCUCACACACUUAAGAAAAUCAUAUUCAAACUACAGAAAACAAAAGAUUUUUUUAAAAAGAGAGAGAAAUAGAGAAUAAAAACAUCCUAUCUCUAGUGGAACAGGGCUAAGGAUUAUAGUGGAUUUCUUGUCAGAAACCCUAUAAGCAAGAAAAGAAGGAUGUGAAAUCAAAGUGUUGAAAGAGAUGUUGGUAUGAAAAUAUAGUGAAAAAUUUAAUAUUAGUAAUGAUAACUUGGGGAACUACUUAAAAAUACAGAAAAUUCUGACUCAAGGGCUCAUGUAAGAUCUGGAGAAAUGCAUGUCAACCACGAACUCCAGGUGAUCUGGCCCAUGUGGUUAUUGGAUCACAUUUUAAGAAGCAUAAGAAAUGUUGCAAAGCAAAUGCCAAGAUGGGGUUGGACAUGUAAGGUUGGACCCUGACAGGAUGGAAGAAAUUAGAGAACAGAUCAUCUGACAUCAGAACCAGAUAACUGAUACCUAACACUACAUUGUAUUUGAGUUAGGAUUAUAAGCAAGUUGAGAUAUUUUCAUGUCAAGCAAAAAUAGGCAUUAGGUAGAGUCUAAGAAAUAGUUAAAUUUAUAAAGAUUCAGACCAUGUCUUUUGAAUAUGUGUGCAUUACAAGGCUGAUGGAAAAAGUUCAUUUAGUAGUGAGUAAAAUUUUAUGGCCACCAAUAACCCACUUCUCAUGGUAUCUCUUUAUUCUUAAAGUAAUAUUCUUCCAAUUAACCUAUACAGGUGAUUUUCAGUGAAGUUGAGAGAAGUAUAAUAGAAAGUCAGUUUAAAUGGUAUAGUUUGAAAAACAUACAUGGAUUUGAGAUUUAUUGUCCAAGUUUUCUCUGUGCAUGAGGAACUGAUAGAGAUCUGGGUAUCCCAGGAAUUUACUGUUUUGCUGAAAUGACAUCAGUAGAUGUAGAGGUGUGAUCUCAGAAAUAUGAUUAUGAACUUGUGUGGUUCACUAUGAAAUAUUGUUGAAGAUGUGUACUUUGUUUAAUUGUGGUUGUAUUAGACAGUAUAGGGUAGCUUUGAAGCAGUAAUAAACAUGAAAAUUUACUUAUCAUGCACACAGUGUUUAUUGUGGGCUUAGUAGCUCCAGAAGGAAGCUACUUUCAGUGACUCUGGGAUCUAGUCUAUUUCCCUCCUGCCAGUUCCAGGAUCUAUUUCUCUAGGACAGUGAAAGAGAAAGGAGAAUUUCAAUGUAAUUCUUUCGUUGUCCCAUCCAUUAGAGAAACACAUCAGUUCCAAUUAUGGCCCAUUGGCCAGAUAAUAUAUUCACAUCAUCCUAACUUUAAUUUAAGGUGGCUAAAAAAUGUGGCGGAAGCACAUGCUAUUCAAUAACCAGUGACUGUCUCUGUCACAUUAGUCAUCACUGAUUCAUGGUAACACUUGCAGAAUUCUGCCAUAAAUUUUAGGCUUUGCAUUUACAAAUUUUAGGAUUUGUGACGAUCUUGGAACAGGUAUCUCUUCCAUGCCAAGAGAGGAAGAGAGGCAGCUCAGAUCAUUAUGAGGAAUAGAGGUGUUGUUGAGAAAGAAGUUUUCUCACAAACCCACUUUGCUAUCUUCUAUUUUGACAAUCUUAGAGUGACAGAUUUUUUUUUUUUCACAUCUAAAUUAUUGGAACUCUGGCAGAUACUGCCAUUAGAACGAAUGGUUUGAUUUAAAUCUGUAAAAUAUGGCUAUAGCUUUGCAUUAGAUGUGGCAAUUAAAAGACAUCUGGGUGAUGGAAUGAAAUAUUCACAACGAUUUUUACAAUAGCUGAGGUCAUGCAUGAAGCUUGAUUUCUCAUGUCGUGUAAUCUUACAAAAGUACUAUACAAAACAAAACAAUGUGGCAGUUGUUACUAUUAGAUAAUUAUGAGACUUUGGACCUUUUUGCCAAAAGUCAUAAUUAAAACACACCACUUCUUAGUAGGCAGUGUUAGUUGGGUAUUUUUCUCUAAUGUCUGCUUGUUCUCCCUGGAAGGUCAUUCUUUUAAAUAGUGCAUUGAUAAUUUCAUUCACUGUAGAACAUGUAUGAUGAAUUUAGGUCAUAUUAAUUUUAAGAGAAGCACCCUCUCAGGAGCUAAUGGAUGGGGCUAUAGUGGACUACAAAAUACAGUCAAGUGCCUUGCACAUAAAAUUAAACAGGGUUUCUUUUGUGAGGUGCUCACACUUUGAGUUGAUGUUUGUUAUUGUUUGGGUUUCACAGGAGCCCUGUGUUUCAACAUUUCUUUAACUACUCAUAGGGCAGAAGAGCUCUGUGUGCUCAUAACCCAACCUGCAUUAUCUUGAUUCAUAGCAAAUUACCAUUAAGAUUAAAAUGCAACUGAUUUCCUCUCUGGCUCACUCCUUACAAUGAUGCUGGAAGUUCACCUAAACAAAGGAUUUGCAAAUGUUAAAGCUGGAAAGAACUUUAAAUUCUCUUUCUCCAGCUCAGAUUCUUCAUUUACCUGAUGAGAAAACGGAGUCCUAGAGAAAGGAGAGGGCUUACGACCCAGCAUGUCACUUAAUCUACCCUUCCUACCCCUAGUUGCAAAGGGAAGAGAGAAAUUCCUUUCCCACCUACUUCUCAGAAUCGCUGUAAGGAUAAAAUUAGAUAAAGUACGCAACAUUUUUGAGAAUAGCAAAGUAAGAGUAAAAUAAAAAUAGUAAGAGUGAUGAUUGUAAAGAUAUCAUUUAUUGAAUAUUUGGUAUGAACUGGGCACUGUAUUACAUAUAUGAUCUCACAAAUCAUCAUAACCCUACCAUAGACAUGUAUUUAUUAUCCCCAAUUAAAAAUGAAGGAACUGGGGAGUGCCCAUGGUGGCUCAGCAGUAAUGAACCCAAGUAAUAUCCAUGAGGAUGCAGGUUCAAUCCCUGGCCCCGCUCUGUGGGUUGAGGAUCCCAUGUUGCCACGAGCGGUAGUGUAGAUGGCAAACAGCUUGGCUCAGAUACCAUGUUGCUAUGUGGCUGUGGCGUAGACUGGCAGCUGCAUCUCCCAUUUAAUGUCUAGCCUGGGAACUUCCAUAUGCCCUGGAUGUGGCCCGAAAAAAAGUGUGGGGGAGGGGACAGAAACUGAGGCUUGGAGAUUUGCCCUAGGUCAGAAGCUACCUAGUAGCAGAACUAAGAGUGAACCUUAGGGAAUCCAACAUUAAACAAAAGCUCUUUGGCUUUACUUACAGCCCAAGGAUUCACACUGGAAUCCAUACUGGACCAUAAUUGUCUUAUUCUCAGGGUUUUCCCAUUGUUAUAAAUUAGUUUCAUAAAGUUCUUUUGGAAGCAGAGAAAAUGGAAACUGCCUAUCCCUUUCUAGGCUUAAUUUGAUGUAUUAUUUACCUUGAACACUGGAGUUUUCAUUAAGAAUGAAAAAUAGACAAGUUUCUGACAUUGCUAUAGAUGUUUUCAGACCAGUGCUAUGGUUUUCUAUUUGCUGUAUAUUUUGCCAAUUGAGCCUCUAAGUGUCCAGUGCUAUCACUCUAAAUAAACCUCUCCUCAUUCUGUUCUGCUUCCUUGCUGCAAGAAGCAUGAAGCUGUAAACUGCCUAUCAGGAAUUUAGAGAAGAACCCAAUGAUCAUGGCAAUGGAAUCUGUAUGUGUGCUGGCUGCGCCUGUGCCAGAUGAUGUUAAAAGGCUGCCACCUUCUGUUUAGCCCAAGUGUUGCUGAGGCAACUUUCCCACAGCUUCCCUAAGAGUCCUCUAAGCUGAUUUACACUGAUUCCGAAUUGCACUUCUGCAAUAUAUAACAUGACAAGUUAAACGCAAAGCCUGCCAAAAAAUCUUGAUAGGCUCAGCUUUCGUGCUACGGCACUUGAAAAGACCAUUACGACUGCCAUCCCCCUAAAGUGUGCUCAAUAUUUUUUGACAGUGAAUUAUCUAAGCAGCAGUUUAUCUCAGCAUUCAUGGAAUGGGGGUGGGGGUUUUGCCCUUUAAAGAUUCAAAAGAGGAAGAUAAAGGGGGUGGGGUAGGGAUAUUUUCCAUUGUUCAAGUGGUAAUGGAUUACUCCAAGGGUUUCCAGAUGUUGCAAGGGCUCUAGUUUUAUACUCAGGUGCGUUUUCUGCUGAGACUUACAAGAAAUGAAACACAUUAUGGGCAGGAUCCUAGACUGUAAGCAAAGGAAUAACACCAGCAUCUGAAUUUUUCUCUGAGAGGUUAUAUGAAAGAGAUACCUUGUGCCUGACCCCAGUAAGCUGAGCCUCCAGCAGCUGGCUUAUCAAGGACAAUCACCUCUUGCUUUAUCAGCACUAAGCUAUUGUUUUCUUCAGGACACGAACCCUACAGCAAUCACUGACACCAUAUAGUGUGUUCCAUCUGGAGCUCUGCCAGCCUGAAAUCCCGCCCCUAACUUCUCCCCACAAAGUGAGGGUGGGGCUCCAUUUUAUUUCAGUAACACAGCCCAGCAAAAUUAGCUUUGCCCAGGGUCACUUUAAUAACUAGCACAUGAGCACCUCCAUCCAUGUGUAUACGCUUAGGUCUGGGUGAGUUGGGUCUCUUUACAUGGUUAAAAUACUAGGGAUUGUUUACAAAAGCUGGAAAAGUCAGGGAUGGAAAAUAGUUCUAGAGGCCAGAACUAUCCAGUUAAGUGCUUACUGACCAGAUUUUUAUUGACUAAGAAACAUAUGCCUAAUAAAUCUAUGACUACACUCACAUCUUCUCAGUCUAAAAUUAUCUAUGUAUUUAUGCAUCUUUCUAGUUUUAUGUCUCUUGCUACAGGACAUAAAAGAAACAAACAGAUAAUUAUAUUUCUUCCUGAAACCUUAUAGAAAAAAAAAA
rnacentral:lncRNA from 1 species